GCCGGCUUAGCUCAGCUGGUAGAGCAGCGGUUUUGUAAACCGAAGGUCGGGGGUUCGAUUCCCUCAGCCGGCGCCA
rnacentral:tRNA from 3 species